rnacentral:lncRNA from 1 species
ACACAGUUUACACAGGCUCCUUGAGAAUAUUUGCUACUUUAGAUUUGCCUGUUUUUCUGAUAUUCAGGGGAUCAAGCCCUUAGCCAAGGAUAAAAACUAGACAUUCUAAGACUUAAUGCUUUCAUUCUUCUCACACACUUGGAGCAGCAGUUAUCUAGCAAUGGAAUUACACAGUAUCCACAAACUGUAGUUCACCGUUAGGCUCUCUCAAACAGAAAAUUACACCAAGAAAUCCAUAAACAGUAAGAACAGCAAGGGUCAGACUGUCUUACUGUGAAGAAUUAUAUAGUGUGGGAAGCCUAUUGCCUUUCGGUUUUUUCUGCUGUUAAUUCCCCAAUCUCAGCUCACAUGGAGCUUUCUGAGAAAUCAGAAAUGUAGUGUUGUGUUUGAAAUGCAUUGCAGUAUUAGAAUUCUAUUUUGGCACACUUUACACUAAAAUGUGUAAUCCUUAUAGUAGAUAUUUAACUCUGAUACAUUUUAUCUGCAGACUGCUCUCAAAAUGAUUGAUCCUCCUUGCCUUUACUCUAGAAAGAUGCUGAAUGUUGGCUGAGGGAAACUGAUCUGUGUUGGUGUUAAGUGACUGAAUCAGAGCUGGUGUGAAAUAAAAGCAUUAAUCUUUGUGCCUUGCUGGAUGUAUGCAGACUACAUAAAGCCUAACGUUUGUUUCAGUUCCUGUGGAGUGAUUUAAAUUCCAUAGGCUUGUUGAAGUUCCUUACCCACCUUUAUGCUACCAGCCAAAAGCUGCUAAGAGAAAGCCACCCUGGAAUGCACAAUUCAGCUGCAGAUGGCAAUACAAGCCCCAGCACCUUUAGAUAUGGAUCAGCUCUCCUGCUGUCUUCACACAGACUCUGUCUCUGAACAUGACAAUUUGAUGUAAGAGUGGGCAUCACAGUUGAUGAGGGGGAAUUUGCAAAAGGGAUGACAGAGAAAAGUUUAUGGAAAUCACAGCAAAUCAAGAAAUGAAGGCCAGCAGGGGUGCUGAAACAGGCUGAUAAAUAGAUAUUUAUUGGAUAGUAAGUUUCAAAUAGUACAUAUUUACCUGCUCCCAGUAACUUAGCAGGAAUUGCUGCCUCAGGGGCAAAGGAUCUCUGUUAAGGUGGCAGCUGGAAUAC